ACCCCCUUAGUACACCCACCAGUACAAGUGACUUCCAAUCACCAAGCCUUAGAAUUACCCUAAGAGGGGGUA
rnacentral:tRNA from 1 species